UCAAAAACAUGUCUUUUUGAUAAUAAUUUAAAGUCUAAUCUGCCCACUGAUAUAAAUAUUAAAGGGCUGCAGUAUAUUGACUGUACAAAGGUAGCAUAAUCAUUAGUCUUUUAAUUGAAGACUUGUAUGAAAGAUUUGAUGAAAUAUAAUCUGUCUCUAUAUUAUUAAUAGAAAUUAAUUUUUUAGUUAAAAAGCUAAAAUAAUAUUAAAAGACGAGAAGACCCUAUAAAGUUUUAUAAUUUAUUUAUUUAUCAUUAAUUAUAAAAAUAAAUAUGAUAAUUAAAUAAAUUAUUUUAUUGGGGUGAUAGAAAAAUUAAAUAAACUUUUUUUAAUAUAAAACAUAAAUAAAUGAAAAAUUGAUCCAUUAAUAAUGAUUAAAAGAAAAAAUUACUUUAGGGAUAACAGCGUAAUAUUUUUUUUUAGUACAAAUAAAAAAAAAAGUUUGCGACCUCGAUGUUGGAUUAAGAUAAAAUUUAAAUGCAAAAGUUUAAAAUUUUGAUCUGUUCGAUCAUUAAAAUCUUACAUGAUCUGAGCU
rnacentral:rRNA from 1 species